UUUAUUAAAGUAAAGUACUAAAGUAGGUAUAGUUUUUCUUUCGUGAUAAAAAAAAUCGUAAAAAAACUGACAUCCGAUCAGAGUGUAAUUGUCAGAAUGCUUAUAAACUUUUUUCAGCACACACUGGCCAUAACACCUUUCCCGAUUUCAAACGUUCAGUUCCAUUAGACAUAAGCAAAAUUCUGCCGUCAGUCACAAAACACAUCAAACUCACAAAAUAGCCUUUUUAACCAUCCAAACAAACUAAAUCUAGCGUGGAGAAUGAGUUUAAGACUUUUAACCACAUUACCAGAGCAAGCACAAAAUUAGUACUAAGAAUGAGAUGGGGCUUGAUGUUAUUGCUGCUGGUUGGUAUAUUGGCCAACCUUUUAGUAGCGGAGGCGUGCAAUAGGAAAGGCAUCAUACCUUGUAUGAAACCAUCACCCUGCGAGACUCCUGCCUCUGCCUCUACUGCUAGUGCUGCUUCUAAUUAAUAGCCCUCAUGUCAUGGAAACCGUGGUGGUGCAGGAGCUGAUAAUCCUGGUCGUGACCCUGGUGCUGUCGUACUUGGAGUCCUGUUAUGGUUCACCUUGCUGAAGACACUUUUUUUUAAUACUCUCGAGAUAAACCAGAAGGAUCAAGAUUUUUUGGCUAACCGCUGGUAAAUUCCCUGAAAAUUUGCAGUUUUAUAAACCGUAGAGUUGGAGCUCGAAGAGUUUAUCACAUUCGUGGUGGUCCUGAUCAUAUCCUUCCUCGAGUACUGCUACCAGACCUGGCAAGAGCUGACCAAUUUCCUUGUGCCUCUGGUCCUGUCGUACUUGGAGUCUGUGACGGCUCCCGCUAUUGAGAGGAGAACGCAUUAAAUCAGAGUAACUAGGUAAAUGCCUUUCAUCAACGAGUUCUCCCUCCUCUUCCUGCACAUCGUGGUGUCUCUCUUUAGCUUGACACAGGGUAAACAGAGGGGUCAUCGUCUGAACGAGCAACGUCGACAACGUCGAGUUAAUAACAGACCUAUUAGACUGGACUAGAGCCCAGCUGCAUAUAUUAUAUUCUGAAAACCGAAGCAAGCACACAUGAGCCUGAAAAGUGUUAUUAUUUUUCUGUUCACACAAAUCUUCCAUCCGUUUAUGGACGCCCUGGAAAGUGUGAUAACUUUUUUCUCAUAUAGACGACCUUCCAUUGAAGUACUUUAUUUUCAAAAGGAAUCACAUAUCCAAGAGAUUCCCGAAUGAAUUGCUGCAAGAAACUUCUUGAGCUGUGCGGAAGAAAGAAGCACUGUCAAUGCAUAAAGACUUACGAGAAACAAUUGCAAAAAGAAGGCAAGCUUCCUAAAGGGGGCACACCCACCAAGGACGCGAAGGCAACUCCGUGCGUUUGUGCUGUGCCAUUGUUCGAGGCAGAAGCGAAAAAGGCGAAAAAGCCAAAGAAGGGCAAAGCGUGCUUUUGCUCACAACCCUUGUUCAAGGCAGAAGCUAAAAAGGCAAAAAAGGCGAAAAAGGCAAAGCAGGGCAAAGCGUGUUUAUGCUCACAACCCUUGUUUGAGGCGGAAGAGAGAGCUAAUAGGUGGUAACAAGAUUGGAAAUAAUAAUGAGCGACGCCACUGACAACUGCUGCGUAAGGCUUCUUCGUCGCUUCGGCUGCAUGAAGAAAGAGGAAGAGCCAUGCACAUGCACUAGGGCCCUGCUGGAAGGGCUCGAUCAAAGCGCACCCGGCGGGGUUGGCAGUAGCAUUAGUAAGGGCAGCGAUAAAAGCAAGGGAAAUAAGAAAUAGACUGAUAGCAGAUCCACAAUGAAUAUUCUCUACCAACUCCUGUUCAUCAUUCUGAACAUCCUCGCCUGUUGUACGGGGCGCGCGCUCGGCUGCCGAACGCGCGGGGUAACCAAUCGCCGCAGUCAAACCAGGAGACCACGGGUCUCGUUCUCUAAUGUCAAUAUGAAGCACAAAGCCUCGGGAAACAACGAUAAAAGGGUCGCUACUCUCUUAGACCCGCCUGAUUACGCAACUCUACGCGGCCGUCCGACCAGACAAUGUUCACGCAUUGACGUACCCAUUGAAAGCGCGGCGUCGAAAAAACGCUGAACUAGGCUUAAGAUGAAACUCCUCUACCAACUGUUGUUCAUCAUCCUGAACAUCAUGGCAUGUUCGGUUGGACGCGCGCUCGGCUGUCGAUCCAACGUUGAUAGCCCGUCUCAGUCGCGACGCGGCCAUCGCAAGUCGCAUCCGUCUAGCAGAGCGCAGUCUAUAUUUUCAGACCCAGAGCGACCGACCUCUCCGUGCAGCACGGAAUUUCCAUACCAACACCCACUGGCAAAGGUGAAAGUCAUAAAGAAUCAGGCUCGCGAUGGCACAAAUCGCGUGGGCCCAUUAUGACACGUUGCAUCUUGCACCCAGCAGACUAUUGACGCACACCUGUCGUUAUGUUUUUGAUAACUUAAAUCAAGAAUUUGGCUUAUUGUUAAUGUUACUGUCGUACAGUUAAUAUGGUCGGCGCAAUGUAAGAACUUGUAUUUGACUGCUAGGAAUUGACCCUUAUUUAUAUUUUAUUUUAUCAAUUCAUUUUUUUUAUUAUAUCCUACGAUAUGAAGCUGAGAUCUACCGUUUAACUAAUAAUAGCCUUAACUUCAUAUAUAUAACGGUCAAUUCAUAACUGUCUUAUAGGAGUUCUUACGUUGCGCCGACCAAAGCUGAUUCCCUAUUAAAAUUAUUUUAAAAACUUGUAAGAAACAAAAACAAAUAUAAUACCUCCAUUGAAAGUAAAAAAAAAUGUUAUUAUGCAUAUUUUGAAAAUAAAAACCAUAUAAUAUAAAAA